CAGGUCAAGGCGUCAAAGGCAAAACAACAGAGAAAAGUGGUUUCAGCAGCCUAACCAGAGGUGGUGGAUGAAUAAUGUUCUUUUAAGUGGUACAUACUGUCAUUCACCUUAUCAGUACUAAAGAUUUGGGUUUACUUAUUAGUUUAAUCAAGGGGAUUUAGAAAAAAAGAUUCAUACUAACUCUAAGAAAGCAGAAAAGGACCAGAGACAACCUGUAAUUUUUUAGCGAUUUGUAUUUCAUGAACUUUUAUAUUAUUCAUUUAGGUUGUGUGAUUAAGAAAAGUUUUUUAUAUCUAUUUAGGUUGUACCAUUUUGAGCUCUGAAGGAUAGUGUAUUAAUGAAUGUUAAGGAUAGUGUAUUCAUGAAUGUUACCAUUAAAAGCAUAACUGUUGUUGCAUAUACCAAAAUUGGUUUACAUUUUCAUGUUAAAGUUUGCUAAUGAUUAAAACUUUUAUGUGUUCCUUUUUCUAAUUUGGGGACAAUCUCCAUUAUCCAAGCAAAGCGUCCGAUCUAAUGGCGAUGAAGUAAGAAACAAAAGAAGAAAUUUUGUCAUCAUCAAGUUUAUGAACAAAAGGGAAAUGUGUGCAAGAGCUAAGGACGGUUGUUAUCUACUAGCUUUCCUAAUACAUGUGUUUCUUUUUUUUCUUUUUAUGUUGUAUAACAGUAGUACUAUAGAAAUUGUCUUAUAUAUGAGACUGAAAAACA